rnacentral:lncRNA from 1 species
GGGAGGAAGAUACGCCCCAGCGAUGAGGACCGAGGGUACUGGGUCGCCGAGCCCGGGAUCGACGGCAGAGCAACGGACUUCAUCGACCGGUUCUACGCCAGCCAUGUCUCAGACCCCGAGAGGCAGACUCUUGCAGUUUGAUGGCUAUUGCUCUCUCUCCCUCAGCAUCUCUCCCCAGUCCAUGCGUCUCUCUUGUAGAUGAAGCUCAUCCAAUCCUUUCCACGAUUUUUUUAUAUUUCUUUCGAGAAUAAUACUCUCUCUGAUGUCCUGUAACUCACCAUGAGUGCCCCCGAUUUGUAAGUUCAUUGAAAUGAAAAGAAUAAAUGUGACAGUGUAGCUCCUCC